rnacentral:rRNA from 1 species
UACGGGGGGGGCAAGCGUUGUUCGGAUUCAUUGGGCGUAAAGAGCUCGUAGGCGGCUUGGCAAGUCGGGUGUGAAAACUUCAGGCUCAACCUGGAGCGGCCACUCGAUACUGCCAUGGCUUGAGUCCGGUAGGGGACCACGGAAUUCCUGGUGUAGCGGUGGAAUGACGCAGAGUAUCAGGAGGAACACCGGUGGGCGAAGGCGGGUCUCUGGGCAGUGAACUGACGCUGAGGAGCGAAAGCGUGGGGAGCGAACAGG